AGAAAAUGCCUUCUCCUUCCCCAGUAAGUGGAAGGGGUUAACAGGCUGUUUCAAGGUGUGUGAAGAGAAUGCUUGUUACUAUCAGGUCCUGUUGCUGGCAGCAACCCCAACAGGUCUUCCCUGUAUAUCUGUUACAGAGUGGGCACCACCUAGCUUCUGAAUAUGGUAUGUCAGAAUUCUAGAUUUGAGACCAAGCAGCUGGAGAAUGCUGAAAUCUAAUAUCUUCACAAUGCCAAAUGGCAUGUCCAGAGCCACCCUCUGGGUAAUAACAGUCACUUGAUGAGAUGAGCAGCAGUAUAGUUUCGAUCAAUCCAUCAAUAGAUAAGAUGAACAUUCAACUCUGGGUGUCAAACUGGCGGCCCACGGGCUGGAAAUGUAAUGCCCAGGCCACGCCCACUCCAGCUCCGCAAAGG